rnacentral:rRNA from 1 species
UUAAAAUGUUAAUUUUUAAAACUAAAGUAGUAUCAGUUAUGUUCUUUAAAUUUAAAGAUUUUGGCGGUAUUUUAGUCUAUUCAGAGGAACCUGUUCUAUAAUUGAUAGUCCACGAUUAACUUUACUUAAAUUUAAAAGUUUGUAUAUCGUUGUUUAUAGAAAAUUUUUUAAGAAAAAUAAUUUUUAAUAAAUUUAAUUAAAUUGUAAAUCAAAUCAAGGUGCAGUUUAUAUUUAAGAAGAAAUGGGUUACAAUAAAAUUUAUUUAUACGGAUUUAUAAAUGAAAAUUAUAAUGAAGGAGGAUUUGAUAGUAAUUUUAUUUAAUUUAAUAAAAUGAUUUUAGCUCUAGAAUAUGU